ACGGGUGAGUAAUGUCUGGGAAACUGCCUGAUGGAGGGGGAUAACUACUGGAAACGGUAGCUAAUACCGCAUAACGUCGCAAGACCAAAGAGGGGGACCUUCGGGCCUCUUGCCAUCAGAUGUGCCCAGAUGGGAUUAGCUAGUAGGUGGGGUAAUGGCUCACCUAGGCGACGAUCCCUAGCUGGUCUGAGAGGAUGACCAGCCACACUGGAACUGAGACACGGUCCAGACUCCUACGGGAGGCAGCAGUGGGGAAUAUUGCACAAUGGGCGCAAGCCUGAUGCAGCCAUGCCGCGUGUAUGAAGAAGGCCUUCGGGUUGUAAAGUACUUUCAGCGAGGAGGAAGGCAUUGUGGUUAAUAACCGCAGUGAUUGACGUUACUCGCAGAAGAAGCACCGGCUAACUCCGUGCCAGCAGCCGCGGUAAUACGGAGGGUGCAAGCGUUAAUCGGAAUUACUGGGCGUAAAGCGCACGCAGGCGGUCUGUCAAGUCGGAUGUGAAAUCCCCGGGCUCAACCUGGGAACUGCAUUCGAAACUGGCAGGCUAGAGUCUUGUAGAGGGGGGUAGAAUUCCAGGUGUAGCG
rnacentral:rRNA from 1 species